rnacentral:rRNA from 1 species
AAACUUCUUUUAUGGAGAGUUUGAUCCUGGCUCAGGACGAACGCUGGCGGCGUGCCUAAUACAUGCAAGUCGAGCGGAGUUGAUGAGGUGCUUGCACCUCUGAUGCUU